rnacentral:rRNA from 1 species
GCUGGCGGCGUGCUUAACACAUGCAAGUCGAACGGAAAGGCCAGUGCUUGCACUGGUACUCGAGUGGCGAACGGGUGAGUAACACGUGGGUGAUCUGCCCUGUACUUCGGGAUAAGCUUGGGAAACUGGGUCUAAUACCGGAUAGGACAACUUUUUGGAUAUUGUUGUGGAAAGCUUUUGCGGUAUGGGAUGAGCUCGCGGCCUAUCAGCUUGUUGGUGGGGUAAUGGCCUACCAAGGCGUCGACGGGUAGCCGGCCUGAGAGGGUGUACGGCCACAUUGGGACUGAGAUACGGCCCAGACUCCUACGGGAGGCAGCAGUGGGGAAUAUUGCACAAUGGGCGCAAGCCUGAUGCAGCGACGCCGCGUGGGGGAUGAAGGCCUUCGGGUUGUAAACUCCUUUCGCUAGGGACGAAGCAUUUUUGUGACGGUACCUGGAGAAGAAGCACCGGCUAACUACGUGCCAGCAGCCGCGGUAAUACGUAGGGUGCGAGCGUUGUCCGGAAUUACUGGGCGUAAAGAGCUCGUAGGUGGUUUGUCGCGUCGUUUGUGUAAGUCCACAGCUUACCUGUGGGACUGCAGGCGAUACGGGCAUAACUUGAGUGCUGUAGGGGAGACUGGAAUUCCUGGUGUAGCGGUGAAAUGCGCAGAUAUCAGGAGGAACACCGAUGGCGAAGGCAGGUCUCUGGGCAGUAACUGACGCUGAGGAGCGAAAGCAUGGGUAGCGAACAGGAUUAGAUACCCUGGUA